rnacentral:rRNA from 1 species
AUGUGUUCCUUUUGCCGACAAGUUGAAACUUCUCAAUAUUUGUUCUUUGACUGCCAUUUUGCCAAGGUCGUUUGGCGAUCAAUUGGGGUUACCCUUGGGACUGACUUAUGCCCUUGUAACUACUGGAAGUUUUUUGUUUGGUGCUACUCUUUCCUACCUGGGUAUGAUCCAUUCUAUACCGUGGCCUUGGGCACUGUUACCUGGUCCAUGUGGUUGGCCUAGAAUAGAGCUACUUUUGAGAAGAAAAUGAUCAAAUCUCCUUUUGAGGUCGUUUUUACGGCAGUUUCUUUUCUCUUGUAUUGGGCAGGCCUACAAGCUGGAGAUGACAUCAAGCAACUUCGAGCUGGUGCAGAGCUGAUUCGCAAUGGAAUUUUGAUGCUGAUGAGGGCCUGUGAUGUAUCAACCAAGAUUGGAGAAAUGAAGUAG